UCAUUAAUGUCUGAUUAAUCUAAUGGCAAGCAACCAAUCAUAAGCUACUAUUUGCAAAUAUUUUCUUAUUUCCUAAUGUCUACUCAUCAGACUUGCGUAUUAUUUAUGUCAAUUAUUAGGAAGAAGUUUUGUGGCCCCUGCAUAUUGGACUUGGUGGCGGUUUGCAGGGGUGUGCUCUGUUCUCAAUGAGAGAGAACAAACGUCUCUAGAGGCAAUCAGAAGAUCGUCAAAGCAGUAUUUUCGACAAACAAUAUUUUUGUCUGCAUGUCGAGGAGAGCUGGACGCUAGGGUAGAGUGAGGGCAUUGAUUUUUGUGAUAUUGGUGAUUAAAUAUGCACAGAGCUGAAUAAAAUGCUCCAUUAUCUUGAUAUAUGCUAUUUCAGCUUCUUUCACUAGUCUCCAUGCUAAUUUCUGUGUGGGAGUGACCACUGCAUGUAGUGGGAUGGUUCUAUGGCAUUCUGCAGAGAAGUAAACGUGCCGACUUCAUCAAUUCUUAUUUCCAUUGUAGUCUAUUAAAAAAUUCAAUUUCCUUCCUUUCUCAGAUAAAUCUAUUGUGCACAGGAGUGUUUUAUUUGAGAAAAAGAAGGGAAAACAUUCUCCCAGGCAAUCUGCAAGACAACGGAAGAAGACGACAUGGCACAAAUGCAGGUAUGGUUUCCUCAACUUUAUUUAGGGAUUUUUCCCCAAGCCUCCAUUGGAACCCAUCUCAGAAUUUUUUAUUGUUAUGGUUAAUUGGGCAUUGUCAUGUCCUUGAUAAUGGGCUUGGAAUUGCUUAUAUUCUCCAUGUAGAAAUAUUGAUUAUGAGGCUACAGGUUUUAAAUUUAAUAUGCUCUUAUAUUCAAACCCUAACUAUGCUAUCUUAUUGCUUUUACAAAUGUAUAUUCUUAUAUAGGUGAACCCUCCAUGUAUAAAAAAUCGAGUCAGAGGAAGGAGCAUUUACCAAAUGAAAUGUGAAGGCAACGAGACAAAACAUCUAGGAAAACCAAAGACAACUUUAGAUAAUUUAAAGAGGAGCAACCUCGGCAGUUCAUAUGGUCUGAAGGACAAAAACCCAACUGAAACAGAAGAGGCAUUUCUCAGCCAAUGUUAUCCGGUUGUCUGUGUUGAUUCUUAUGUCACCGCUAAGAGAUUUACAAAUAUUUUUUUUAUCAAAACUGACCAAAUCCUUGCUUCCAUUACGCUUUGAUGGAUGUCCAUACCCUAUUUCAAAGCUCCCAUUUUGGUACAGGCAGGGAUUAUGCUGACAAAAGUUGUGGAAUUUCGCUUUACCCUGCCAAUUGCAUUUUGAUGGAUGUCCAUACCCUAUUCUAAAGCUUCCAUUUUGGUACAAGCAUAAAUUAUGGUGGCAAAAGUUGUGGAAUUUCGCUUUACCCUGCAAAUUGCAUUUCCUUAAAAUUCUAACGGCUUUCCAACAAAUCUAUUUUGUGCAUAUCCUCUAAUCAUUGUUGUCCAUUAGAACACAUUUCUAUAAGGCAUUAUGUCAAACAAGUCACGUGCCUUGUCUAUGCUUCCACAUUUUGGAUACAUUUUUACCGAGGCUGUUACAACUACGACAUCUCACAAAAUUCGUCUAUUCUCUAUGCUUUUAUGGAUGUCUAUACUCAGCUCUUUUCAUGAUGAGCAGCCUAUAACUAGUACUGAGUGGAGAAAUUGUGAAUGAUAUAAAAUACAAAAUCUAGAGACAAAUUUUGAAAAAAAUAAAAGAAGACACGAAACCUAUUUUCCCUCUUUUGACUUACCAAUGAUUACUCCAACAUCAUAUAACUAAGCUACAUGAUAUAGAACAUUCUAGUUUUGGCUGGGAAUGCAAGUGUAGAUUAAGGAAGGAGAGAAAAUUUCACACCCAUAUCUCUUACAGUUUCUAGUAUAAAAGAUAAUGCUCUUCGAUAAGGUGAAACUAUUGCGUUACAUUAUCUGAACUUGUUAUAUUGGUUGUUUUCAACAACUACUAUAUCUUAUGUUAUUGUGAAAAUUAAUGUUGAUGAUUAAACAUGGUAGAUUGUCAAAGCAUUUGAUUGCUUUGGGUACACCUCAAAUCCUAUUAUAUUUCACUCCCACUUCAACAGCUUGCAAAUGUUCACAUUUCACUUUUUUGCAUGCCCUUAUAAUUUCUUCCGCUUUUGGACACAAACACUUUAGACAUACAAAUUAUCCUACAACAUUUUGAUCCAGGAGCUUUUUCAAGAGCAACCAUCCUGACUACACGAGAAGCUCAAAGAACACAUAACACGAUGAAACUAAUACAACGAAUGCAAAUGCCAUACUGAGCAUAGUCAAUUGAAAUUACACAACUCCCUAGUCAAUUGAAAUUACACAACUCCCUCAAAUUUGAUACUUUGUCAGUUGUGCCUAUUUCUUCAUGGGACUAUAAUAAAACUAUGACAACCUUAUUAGCUAUUUGGAACUCAUGUUUUACCAUGAAUUUUGGACUCUCAAACAUGGAAUCUAGUUCAGAGACAAAUCAAUUUGUAAGAGUCUUUUGUUUUUUAAGAAUCUAUUGUUUACAUAGCCAAAACAUAAUAUUUAAAAUUUGUCUUAAAUCUUA